GUAAGGAAUAUUGGGCAAUGGAGGCAACUCUGACCCAGCCAUGCCGCGUGAAGGAUGACGGCCCUCGUGGUUGUAAACUUCUUUUGUACGGGAAUAACCCUCCGAACGUGUUCGGAGCUGAAGGUACCGUAAGAAUAAGGAUCGGCUAACUCCGUGCCAGCAGCCGCGGUAAUACGGAGGAUCCAAGCGUUAUCCGGAUUUACUGGGUUUAAAGGGUGCGUAGGCGGAUUGAUAAGUCAGUGGUGAAAGCAUACAGCUUAACUGUAGAACUGCCAUUGAUACUGCCAGUCUGGAGUAUGGUUGAGGUAGCUGGAAUGUGUCAUGUAGCGGUGAAAUGCUUAGAGAUGACACAGAACACCAACGGCGAAGGCAGGUUACCAACCCAUUACUGACGCUGAGGCACGAAAGCGUGGGGAUCAAACAGGAUUAGAAACCCCAGUAGUCC
rnacentral:rRNA from 1 species